GUAAAAUACUGCUGACUACAAGGAAUGUAACGACAAUUUCAUUUUCUGAACUGCUCGAUCGGACCAACAUGGACACGAACUGUCGGUUAAUUAACGGCCGUGCUGUGUGCCCGCCAGUGCAUUUUAUCACUCCAAGAAUGCGGGACCAGGAGUCCGAUGAAUAUACAAUCCCUCAUCGUUAAACCUCGACGAGCAUAACGAUUGACAGUGAACGGACACGCGUGUUAAUCCAACCCCUGGAUACUACCCUGUUAUGCACUUGAGUAUUCACCCCCUAGCAUAACCACAAACAUCAAUUUAUUCCCCGUCUCGUGAACAUUGUUCCAUCGUC